AGAUCCUAUUGGUCUUCCUCCUGAUGCAAGGAAACCAUCCUCAGGAGGAAGACCAAUAGGAUCUAGUCCAAACCUAUUAUCACCAUUGGCAACUGUAGAGCAUAUACCCACUGAGCAUGAUCCUGUACCCUCACAUGGCCUGGAAAUCAAGCCCUCAAGCCAAUUGACACCCGAAUCAAUUUUAGAAGCAAAGGAACCUGAACACAGUUUGCAAAAUUCGGAAGAAAAAAGGGAUUCUCAUGACAAAUCUAUAUCAACACCAACUAUGCUAGAAGAUCACCCUCAGCAGGAUUCAUUAACCUUGCAUGGAGAAACAACAUGGGCACCAAGUUCAUUAGCUUUGCCACCAAUCUUUGAAGUUGGAAAACCAAGUGGUAGUAAGCUUCCUCGUCCUCGGAAUCCUCUCAUUGAUGCUGUUGCUGCACAUGACAAAAGCAAGUUGAGAAAGGUAACAGAACGAGUUCGCCCUCAGAUUACACCAAAAUUAGAUGAAAGAGAUUUGCUACUAGAACAAAUACGAACUAAGUCCUUUAACUUGAAGCCUGCGGCUGUGAUGAGGCCUAGCAUUCAGGGUAUUCAGGAUACAAAAACCAACUUGAAGGUUGCGGCCAUAUUGGAGAAAGCAAAUGCAAUUCGCCAGGCUUUGGCUGGAAGUGAUGAAGACGAUGAUACAGACAGCUGGAGCGAGUGAUUCUUGAGAAAACUUGCUCAAGUGCAGCAUUUUACCGUGGUGGUUAAUGCCUGCUUUAGAUACACAUUAAUUCUCCCCAAAAGUGAAUAGCAAUCACUGCAGUUUGGGUAAAGUGAAUAGCAACCACUGCAGUUUGGGUAUUCUUUUCCGCUCUACGCUAUAAAUUCAUGUAUAGACUUUCUGUUCCACUCGUCUUCCUUGUCACACAUAGUUGUUGAAGAUGCACCGGUUGGUAUGCUGCCCCCUGCUCUUUCUCAGGAACCCAAUCCAAGGCAAAACGUUUAUUUUACAAGAAUGGCUCAGCGUGCAAGCGCUUAUCCAGUCAAAAUGUGUGUAUAACUGUAUUAGUAUCUCAGUGGGUGUAAAUUUUGUUGGAGUGGCGUAAAUUUUGAGGUGAAGCGCUCAUAUAAUGAAAUUUUGUAAUUUGUAUGUAGGGAUUUCGUUAUAUACACCUCUGCCCCAAUUAGAAUGUUCUCUAGUUUAUGGAAUGAUUGUAUGAGGUUUGCAUGAUUCUUUACAGAAUUAUGGAUGUACUGGCACCAAUCAUUGAUUGUUACACAAUCAGAUUUUGAAUAUAGUGCAGUAGGAAGUUUGGAU
rnacentral:misc_RNA from 1 species